rnacentral:ribozyme from 13 species
AGAAAGAAAAAGACCAAAAAAAAUCAGAGCACCCUUCAUUGUUCGAACCUUUUUUUUUUUUUUUUUUUUUUUU